UACGAAGGGGGCAAGCGUUGUUCGGAAUUACUGGGCGUAAAGGGCGCGUAGGCGGCUUAUCAAGUCAGGCGUGAAAUUCCCGGGCUCAACCUGGGGGCUGCGCUUGAUACUGAUGAGCUUGAAUGCGGGAGAGGAUAGUGGAAUUCCCAGUGUAGAGGUGAAAUUCGUAGAUAUUGGGAAGAACACCGGUGGCGAAGGCGGGUCUCUGGACAGUUCCUGACGCUGAGGCACGAAGGCCAGGGGAGCAAACGGG
rnacentral:rRNA from 1 species